AUUACUUCACCCAGAAAACCUACAUAUAAAGGCUACUCUUCCUUCAACAAUUGACCUAAUUAUUUAAAGAGGUGGAGAAGGAGAAAUUCUCCAGCAUUUCUCAAGAGCAGGACUUCCAAUUAGAGGUGUUAAUGGCAUUGCUACAGGUCUUUCUUUGAGAUUGAACAGAAGUGGUGGAAGGCUGAAGACUGCUGGAGAGAGGACGGUACCAGGAAAGAUGGGGCUUAUAUCCCUGAUCUGCUAUGGAACUAAUCUCUACAAUAUCUGUGUUGAGGUGCAGCAAUCAGAAAAGCACUCCACUUCAG